AGGAAUUGGGUGGACUAAAUGGACAGUAUCCUUCUCUAUCUGAAGUCUAGCAAGGGAGGUUUCCAUCACAGCCUCCAGAAGCAGAGGAUGCUGGAAGAUACCACUGGUACAAUGCCCAGUAAUGGAAGUCCUGCCUGCAAUAUUGAACAAUGGAAGAUUGGAUUCAUAUCAAAUAAUUUUAGUGCUUCCUGUCCCUUGUUUUAAAGGGAACACAGUACACCAAGUCAAAUGGAAUGGCAGAAAGAAGGCUGCCACACAGACCUGCAUAUAUGAUAAAUCUAUAUGAAACUAGAAAGUGAUUGCCCCUAAAAGAACACAAAUUAAAAACUAACAGCUCCCUUGAGGGACUUUUAACAAUCCAGAGAUGUGACGAGGCUGGGGAUAUAGCGUUUGCAGGCUGGCCUGUAACAACCAUCUCUUGCUUCUGGGCAUGGCAAAGUCCUGAGAUAGAAAGAUGUUCUAGUCAAUUCUGUUGAGGUCAACAGUUACCUUGUAUAACUUCCUCAAGGGAAGCUAAACCCAUCAUUUCUAAACAUACCUUGAGCUCUUGUUUGAGAUGUGGGGGCAUUACAAGUUCACUCCCCAACCCAGACAAAUUUAUUUACAUUGUCAUCAAACUCGAGGCUUAGGACCUUCUCUAUUAUUUCUGACUUAACUGGAAAUGCAUUUCAAACUACUUCCAUUUUUACAGGACCAUUCUGCACUUACCUUUCAGAAACAGAAAGGAUAUCCUUCUCAGGCUGGACUUCUAGCUCAAACAACAGCCACUCUCGGAAAGAUAACUGGGAAAGAUGCAGAGAUUCAGCACCAAAAAG